rnacentral:rRNA from 1 species
UACGGAGGGAGCUAGCGUUGUUCGGAAUUACUGCGUAAAGCGCGCGUAGGCGGCUUUGUAAGUUAGAGGUGAAAGCCCGGGGCUCAACCCCGGAAUUGCCUUUAAGACUGCAUCGCUUGAAUCCGGGAGAGGUGAGUGGAAUUCCGAGUGUAGAGGUGAAAUUCGUAGAUAUUCGGAAGAACACCAGUGGCGAAGGCGGCUCACUGGACCGGCAUUGACGCUGAGGUGCGAAAGCGUGGGGAGCAAACAGG